ACUUCCUCUGUUAAAUCGGCUCGUCUCUGAAGAUUCGGUCUGGAGCCGGAGUGUAGUUUGCUUUGUCCUCUGCCUGUUUACAGUGUUUUCCCAGAGUUUUCUUUUGAGUAUUUUUAUUUUGUGCUGUCUCCAGCGUGCAAGGAUCUAGUGGCUGCUACCCGUGAUCGGAAGCUGAAUACGUUUAUACAAGUCUCAGUGGUUCAUCCAGCAGAGCACAUUCUGACGAGGUAUUCAAGCACUGAAAUCGUGGAGGGUACAAGAGAUCCACUGUUUUUGACUGGUGUGACGUUCCCACCGGAAUACCCCAUCUAUGAGGAGACUAAAAUAAAGCUAACAGUCUACGAUGUCAAAGAUAAAUCUCAAGACACGGUCCGCACCAGUGUCCUACCUGAUCACAAGGAGCCAAGAGCGGAUGUUGGACGAAGCUUCCUGGGAUGUACAACUUUUAGAGUAGGAGACUUGGUAAAGUCAAAGGAGCAGCAGUUGACCCUUACCCUCAG